UACCUACCUUGAGGUGAGGAAUACCACCGAGAAAUCGGUGACAAUACCGCAUACGCUCGGGCUUCCGAGCAAAGUCUCUCUUCACGAGAGACGCCCCAAGAUGGGCCUGCGCCUGAUUAGCUGGUUGGUGAGGUAAUGGCUCACCAAGGCGACGAUCAGUAGCUGGUCUGAGAGGACGAUCAGCCACACUGGGAUUGAGAACGGCCCAG
rnacentral:rRNA from 1 species